CUUUAAACCAGCAAAGAUCAAAAGAGACAAAGAACGGCAUUUCAUAAUGGUAAUGGGAUCAAUGCAACCAGAAGAGCUAACUAUCCUAAAUAUAUAUGUACCCAAUACAGGAGCACCCAGAUUCAUAAAGCAAGUUUGUAGAGACCAACAAAGAGACUUAGACUCCCACACAAUAA